rnacentral:rRNA from 1 species
UACGUAGGGUGCAAGCGUUGUCCGGAAUUAUUGGGCGUAAAGAGCUCGUAGGCGGUUCGUCGCGUCGGCUGUGAAAACCCGGAGCUUAACUCCGGGCCUGCAGUCGAUACGGGCGGACUGGAGUUCGGCAGGGGAGACUGGAAUUCCUGGUGUAGCGGUGAAAUGCGCAGAUAUCAGGAGGAACACCGGUGGCGAAGGCAGGUCUCUGGGCCACUACUGACGCUGAGAAGCGAAAGCAUGGGGAGCGAACAGG